rnacentral:rRNA from 1 species
GACGAACGCUGGCGGCGUGCUUAACACAUGCAAGUCGAACGGAAGGGCCCUGCUCUUGUGGGGUUCUCGAUUGGCGAACGGGGGAGUGUCACGUGAGUAACCUGCCCUUGACUUUGGGAUAACUUCAGGAGACUCGGGCGAAUACCGGAUAUGAUCUCCUGCUGCGUGGUGGGGGUUGGAAAGAGUCGGCGGUGGUGGAUGGACUCGAGGCUUAUCCGCUGGAUGGUGAGGUAGUGGCUGACAAAGGCUAUGACGGGUAGCCGGCCUGAGCGGGUGACCGGCCACCUUGGGCCUGAGGUACGGAGCAGACUCCUACGGGAGGCAGCAGUCGAGAACAUUGCGGAAUGGGGGCACGCCUGAUGCAGCAACGCUGCGUGCGGGAUGACGUCCUUCGGGUUGUAAACCGAUUUCGACGGUGACGAAGCGUGAGUGACGGUAAUGGGUAAAGAAGCACCGGCUAACUACGUG